GGCCGCGGUCACGCUCGCCACGGUGCGCCUCUUCCACGGCCUAGAGUCGGAUUUCAGGAGGAAGAUUCAGCUCCAGCGCCGUAGCAACAAGCCCGGUGGCGCGAGGGAGGCGACGGCCAAGAAGAAGGUGCGGUUCGCGGACGACGUGAUGGAGCCGUCGUCAGGCAACAAAGAGUACCGGAGAAAAAGGCAGCGAUUCCCGUUGCUAGCUGGCCAGGCGUAGCUAGGGCUAGCUGGCCGGUGUGGUUCUCCAUCCACCAGCCUACGAAUAAGUUUUUGUUGUUGUUGUUGUUUUCUUUCGUUUUUCAUAUUUGAUCUGUACCGAGUUAUGGAAGUAGUUGCACAUGUAAGGGUAUCUUCAAGAGCAUUGCUAUAUUUGACUUGAAUUGGUAA